rnacentral:rRNA from 1 species
UACGUAGGGUGCAAGCGUUAAUCGGAAUUACUGGGCGUAAAGCGUGCGCAGGCGGUUUGUCGCGUCGGCUGUGAAAGCCCGGAGCUCAACUCCGGGUCUGCAGUCGAUACGGGCAGACUUGAGUGUUGCAGGGGAGACUGGAAUUCCUGGUGUAGCGGUGAAAUGCGCAGAUAUCAGGAGGAACACCGGUGGCGAAGGCGGGUCUCUGGGCAACAACUGACGCUGGAGGAGCGAAAGCGUGGGGAGCGAACAGG